rnacentral:rRNA from 1 species
GACGAACGCUGGCGGCACGCCCAACACAUGCAAGUCGAGCGAGUAGAUCCCUUCGGGGUGAAGCUAGCGGCGGACGGGUGAGUAGCACGUGGGCAACCUGCCUCAUAGAGGGGAAUAGCCUUCCGAAAGGAAGAUUAAUACCGCAUAAGAUUGUAGUACCGCAUGGUAUAGCAAUUAAAGGAGCAAUCCGCUAUGAGAUGGGCCCGCGGCGCAUUAGCUAGUUGGUGAGGUAACGGCUCACCAAGGCGACGAUGCGUAGCCGACCUGAGAGGGUGAUCGGCCACAUUGGGACUGAGACACGGCCCAGACUCCUACGGGAGGCAGCAGUGGGGAAUAUUGCACAAUGGGGGAAUCCCUGAUGCAGCAAUGCCGUGUGAGUGAUAACGGCCUUCGGGUUGUAAAGCUCUGUCUUCGGGGACGAUAAUGACGGUACCCGAGGAGGAAGCCACGGCUAACUACGUGCCAUCAGCCGCCGUAA